rnacentral:tRNA from 1 species
CUUCUUGGUAGUUUUUGAAAAAAUACGUAGUUUUGAGCUACAAGAAAGAAUUGUAUUCUCCGAAGAAG